rnacentral:rRNA from 1 species
GAUGAACGCUAGCGGCGGGCUUAAUACAUGCAAGUCAAGGGGUAGCAGUACACCGGCGUACGGGUGCGUAACGCGUAUGGAACCUGCCCUUAUCUGGGGGAUAACUCGGGGAAACUCGAGCUAAAACCGCAUAAGAUAGUAGAAUGGCAUCAUUCAGCUAUUAAAGAUUUAUCGGAUAAGGAUGGCCAUGCGUAAGAUUAGAUAGUUGGUGAGGUAACGGCUCACCAAGUCUACGAUCUUUAGGGGCUCUGAGAGGAGAAUCCCCCACACUGGCACGGAGAUACGGGCCAGACUCCUACGGGAGGCAGCAGUAGGGAAUAUUGGGCAAUGGGCGGAAGCCUGACCCAGCCACGCCGCGUGCAGGAAGAAGGCCCUCUGGGUUGUAAACUGCUUUUGAUUGGGAAGAAAGCAUCUCAUGCGUGGGAUUUUGACGGUACCAAUCGAAUAAGCCACGGCUAACUACGUGCCAGCAGCCGCCGUAAUAC